AUUGAACGCUGGCGGCAGGCCUAACACAUGCAAGUCGAACGGUAACAGGAAACAGCUUGCUGUUUCGCUGACGAGUGGCGGCCGGGUGAGUAAUGUCUGGGAAACUGCCUGAUGGAGGGGGAUAACUACUGGAAACGGUAGCUAAUACCGCAUAACGUCGCAAGACCAAAGAGGGGGACCCUCGGGCCUCUUGCCAUCGGUUUUGCCGAGAUGGGAUUAGCUUGUUGGUGGGGUAACGUCACACAAAGGCGACGAUCCCUAACUGGUCUGAGAGAAUGAGCAGCGCCGCUGGAACAGAGACAGAGUCAAGACUCCAACGGGAGGCAGCAGUGGGGACUGUUGCACAAUGCGCGAAAGCAUGAUGCAGCCAUGCCGCGUGUAUGGAGAAGGCUGCUCAGUUGUAAAGUAGUUUCAGCAGGGAGGAAGGGAGUAAAGAUAAUACCGUUGCUCAUUGACGUUACCCGCCGAAGAAGCACCGGCUAACUCCGUG
rnacentral:rRNA from 1 species